CGUCAGCUGGCGCUCUGUAUUCGAGGAAAGGAAUGGCUGAUCUAGACCACGUUGGUUAUCCCUGCUUUUGUAUCCACGUCCGGGGGUCUUUGCUGUGACAUGACUUGCCUUCUAUGAUGGACGGUACCCUGGAACUACCAGCUGAAAUAAAUCUUUCCUCCCUAAGUGUCAAGGUGUUUUAUCACAGUAACAUAUGAAAUUAGGACACCACCUAAGUCCAGCUUGUGCAGGGGCAUGAAGGGAAGAGAAUGCAAGUACAUCUGUGCUAAAGGGCCCUUCCUGGGAUCCCAAACUUGGAGCUCUUGGGAAGAACAUGAUGGAAGAAAGAGUAAGGAAAGUGGGUCAGCAUGUGGUGUGGUGUGAAGGACGUGAGUUCAGCAGGAACUUUGGUAUUGGUAUUAGCUUUUGUGGUGUGGCUGAGCCCUGAUGACCAUGGUCAGGUAGAAGAGGCUCUUGUGGACCUCAGUGACUGCAGUCAGCAUACGAGUUGAAAAGUGCUAAAGCAAUCAAGAGCAGAUGAGAAAAA